UACGUAGGGGGCAAGCGUUGUCCGGAAUCAUUGGGCGUAAAGCGCGUGUAGGCGGCCCACUAAGUCCGCUCUGAAAGCCCGGGGCUCAACCCCGGGAGGCGGGUGGAUACUGGUGGGCUCGAGUCCGGAAGAGGUCAGUGGAAUUCCCGGUGUAGCGGUGAAAUGCGCAGAUAUCGGGAGGAACACCAAUGGCGAAGGCAGCACUCUGGGACGUGACUGACGCUGAGACGCGAAAGCGUGGGGAGCAAACAGG
rnacentral:rRNA from 1 species